CCCACCCCCCGGGCAGCCCAACCACCCAAACCCUAUCCCCUCCCACUCCAUCGUCGCCGCCCCCAGAUCCAAUCUCGCUGCCACUCCAUCCUGUCCCGCUCGCGCAUGCUCGCCGCCACCACGACCGCCGCCGCCGCCGCACUCAGGGCGCCGCGACCUCCUUCCCGCUCGCCGCCCUCCUCGCCUCAUCCAAGGCCUCGUCCGACUCGACCCCCGCCACCCCCGCGGUGGUCCCCGCAGACGAGCGGGGCUCCCUCUUCGCCACGGACCCCGCGCCAUCCGAGUUCGCGCCCUCCUCGUCGCCGUGUGCAGCGGCCAGAGGAUCUCCACGACGUCCUCGUCGUCGUCCGCGGUGGCCAGGGGAUCUCCGGGGCGUCCUCGUCAUCAUCCAUGGACCCCACCCCCGCCGAGCAUGAGAUCUCCCGAGCAGGCCCUCCCACCGGCCAUUGUUGGGCCAUCUCCGCCGCGCCACCGUCCCUCCGCCGGCAGGCACGUCUCUCUCUCUCUCUGACCAGCCGUGUUCUCUGCACCAGGUUCAGCUCCUCCCGCUGCAAAGUGCUCGGCGAGGAGAAGGACACGGGAACUUGACCUGGACACAAGGUGCUCAGCUCCUCCAGCGACCACCGGGCCAAUUUGUUCUCUGUUCCCCUCCCCACCUCCCUCCACCCAUCUUCCGUACAUUCACAUGUUCAUCAGUUUGCAUCUGUAUAUUACAGUAGUCAGCAAUAUUAUUUGAAUGCAGUUUUGUUGGAUUAGUUAGGUGAUAUUUUGAUGCAAUUUUGAUGGAUAUUUUUUCAGAUGAGAUGGAACCAAAGAUCAAUCUGCUUUGAUUUCUUAAAUUCUCUACAAUUUGCUUUUGUAGUUUUACUCCAGAACAAAGCAUGCAAAAGUAAUAGCAAAUAUAAACCUCAAAGCUCUUCCCCACCACAUUAUGUGUGCAUACUCCAUCUAAUCUAAUAUAUAAAUCUAAAAUCUUGAAGCUUCAUUCCUUUGGUCACCCAUGAUAUGUUAAUGAAAUGCCGUUGUCACUCCAUUUGUUUGUGAAUUUGCCUACCUGUUCUCAUGUGAUUCAGUGUGCAUGCAUUCAAGUUUUUCUGUAGGUCUAUUUAGCAUGAAACGGUGCUAUGGUUUUUUAGCUACUUUAGCAUUCAAAUGAACAUAACCAUGAACUCUGAUCCAGGGCAUGUACUCUACCCAGAGCAUGUACAGUCUGCCAUAUCUAGAAAUUCUUGGAUACCAGAUACAACUAUGCCCUUAAUUAGUAAAUUUCCUUCAACAACCCAUGCUUAUGAUCUGUGAACACUCUAUUUGUGUACUGAUGUACAUUGGAUGCCCGGCUUUUAAUUUUGAGUGUGUGUAAUGUGAUGUCUGGCAUUCACUUGAAGUGGCACUCCUAUAUUUGCUUAUAAUAUAAAUACUUGUUUAUGUAUACAAUGCAAAUAUUUUGUUUAUGCAUAGCUGAACUCCUAGCUAGCACUUGACAACUUAUUCUCUGGUUUCCUAUUAAUUAAAUGGUACAUGCAAUGAAUAUAUCUGGUUUCCUGCCUCUUUGAUUUGUUCGAGUAUUAUCUGCACGUUAGUUCUUUCGUUGAGUAGUGUGUAUUUUCUGCUCAUCCAGGUUUGACAACUAGUUCCUUGCUCUGCUCUGCCCCUGCUAGGUGCUCGCGGAGGAGGCCAAGGCGUGGUAAGACAAGGCCAUCUUCAAGGUGCUCGAUCUGGUACGAUCUUUUAACCUCGGAAGGUUGAACCUCUCACCGACGACGGCCGUCAUUGGUGAGCUGCUGGUUGCAUCGGCCUCCCGCGGCAUCUAUUGCCAGCCUGUGGAACACUUCGAAGCCAUCUUUGGAACUGCCAAUGUCUUCCUGCAGAUGACUGAUGAGUUGAUCUUCUUCCACCAGUGGUAGCAGUAGGUGAUGCCGGAGCAGUACAUCGAUCAGCAGAUCAUCCUGCCAUUUGGGCCGGGAGAAGCUGGGACAGCCCUAAUGCAGUAACAUCACCAUGUGGCAAAUCCAGUAGAUUGACACAACAUUGGUGCUUGGGUGAUGGGGCAAAGUAUGUGUACUAGUGACGGUACAUGAUAUUCGUGCUUCUCAUUGAUGUUAUGUGUGAUCAGCUAGAAUUUGUGCUUCUCGUCCAAUCUAUGUUGAUGUGCGCUUGUGCACUUGUUGGGCCUUGAACCUUGCUGUGUAGAGGAGUCGAUUAAUGAUGUAUUGUAUUUCAUGUGAUGUGUUACUGAAAUGAAAUAUAUGAAAUAUUGUAUUAUGUUGUA